rnacentral:rRNA from 1 species
GACGAACGCUGGCGGCGUGCUUAACACAUGCAAGUCGAACGGAAAGGCCCUGCUUUUGUGGGGUGCUCGAGUGGCGAACGGGUGAGUAACACGUGAGUAACCUGCCCUUGACUUUGGGAUAACUUCAGGAAACUGGGGCUAAUACCGGAUAGGAGCUCCUGCUGCAUGGUGGGGGUUGGAAAGUUUCGGCGGUUGGGGAUGGACUCGCGGCUUAUCAGCCUGUUGGUGGGGUAGUGGCUUACCAAGGCUUUGACGGGUAGCCGGCCUGAGAGGGUGACCGGCCACAUUGGGACUGAGAUACGGCCCAGACUCCUACGGGAGGCAGCAGUGGGGAAUAUUGCACAAUGGGCGGAAGCCUGAUGCAGCAACGCCGCGUGCGGGAUGACGGCCUUCGGGUUGUAUACCGCUUUCGCCUGUGACGAAGCGUGAGUGACGGUAAUGGGUAAAGAAGCACCGGCUAACUACGUG